AGUGAACGCUGGCGGUAGGCCUAAUACAUGCAAGUCGAACGGCAGCACAGUAAGAGCUCGCUCUUACGGGUGGCGAGUGGCGGACGGGUGAGACAUACAUCAGAAUCUACUUUUACGUGGGGGAUAACGUGGGGAAACUUACGCUAAUACCGCAUACGACCUACGGGUGAAAUCAGGAGUUCUUCGGACUUUGCCCGACUCAAUGAGCUGAUGUCGGAUUAGCUAGUUGGCGAGGUAAAGGCACACCAAGGCGACGAUCCGUAGCUGGUCUGAGAGGAUGAUCAGCCACACUGGAACUGAGACACGGUCCAGACUCCUACGGGAGGCAGCAGUGGGGAAUAUUCCACAAUGGGCGCAAGCCUGACCCAGCCAUACCGCGUGAGUGAUGAAGGUCUUCGGGUCGUAAAGCCCUUUUGUUAGGAAAGAAAAGCAGUAUAAUAAUCCACGGCUGUUCUGACGGUACCUAAUGAGUAAGCACCGGCUAACUUCGUG
rnacentral:rRNA from 1 species